rnacentral:rRNA from 1 species
UGGUGCAUGGCUGUCGUCAGCUCGUGUUGUGAGAUGUUGGGUUAAGUCCCGCAACGAGCGCAACCCUUAUCUUCAGUUACCAUCAGGUUAUGCUGGGGACUCUGGAGAGACUGCCUGCGUAAGCAGGAGGAAGGUGGGGAUGACGUCAAGUCAUCAUGCCCCUUACGUCCUGGGCGACACACGUGCUACAAUGGCUAGGACAAUGGGCUGCUACCCUGAAAAGGGACGCGAAUCUCCGAAACCUAGUCGUAGUUCGGAUCGUGGGCUGUAACUCGCCCACGUGAAGCUGGAAUCCGUAGUAAUCGCAGUUCAUAAUACUGCGGUGAAUGUGUCCCUGCUCCUUGCACACACCGCCCGU